AAUAAUACAGUUACUGCUUUGCCGGCGCGGUGCAGUUUGUUCUGCCCUCCCCUUCUUUAUCAUUACUUUAAUUUUUUUCUCCCUCUGCCCGGAUCUCCGACGAUAUUAUCCCUUUUUAUUCCUCCCUCUCCUCUUUUAUCCCCCAAAAUUCUAAAAGAAGUUCUCCCACAUUUCAUAUUUAAUUCUAAAAAAUUUUCAAUCUUCUUGUUUCUCUAUUGUUUUGUUUUGAUUGAAUAAAGAGGAGAGGGAAACAUAACAAGAAAAAAAAAUGAACUAGAAGAGUUAGGGUUCGAGCCAAGGUUUUGUGGAUGGCGCAGGUUCAGGUUCAGCAUCAUGCGUCGGUUUCGGGGCCAAUCAGUGUCGCGUCGGGGCACGGAGGAGCGCAGUUCAUGCCGACUUCACUCUAUGUUGGGGAUCUUGAUGUUUCAGUUACUGAUGAGCAACUCUACCAAACGUUUGGCGAGGUGGCUCCGGUCGUUUCUGUGAGGGUUUGUCGGGACACGGCGACUGGCCGCUCUCUCGGAUAUGGCUACGUCAACUAUAACAAUCCUCGAGAUGCGGCUAGGGCAUUGGAUCUACUGAAUUUCACUCCAAUGAAUAAUAAGCCUAUCCGAAUCAUGUAUUCUCAACGGGACCCUAGUCUUCGUAAGAGUGGUACUGCAAAUAUAUUUAUCAAGAAUCUGGACAAGUCAAUUGACCACAAAGCAUUACAUGAUACGUUUUCUUCCUUUGGCAACAUUCUUUCUUGCAAGAUAUCAACUGAUGGUUUGGGCCAGUCCAAAGGCUAUGGUUUUGUGCAAUUUGACAAUGAAGAAUCUGCUCAAAAUGCAAUUGAUAAAUUAAAUGGUAUGUUGAUUAAUGACAAGCAGGUCUAUGUUGGACAUUUCCUUUGUAAGCAUGAAAGAGAGACUGCACCAAAUAAGGUCAAAUUCAAUAACGUAUAUGUGAAAAAUCUUUCUGAUACGACAACUGAUGAGGAAUUAAAAACAAUUUUUGGUGAGCAUGGUGAAAUUACUAGUGUUGUAGUUAUGAGGGAUGCAGAUGGGAAGUCUAAAUGUUUUGGAUUUGUGAACUUUGAAAAUGCUGAUGAUGCUGCUAAAGCCGUUGAAGCUCUGAAUGGAAAGAAAUUUGAAGAUAAAGAGUGGUAUGUUGGCAAAGCCCAGAAAAAAUCUGAGAGAGAGCAUGAGCUAAAAGCUCGAUUUGAGCAAAAUAUGAAGGAAGCUUCUGAUAAAUUCCAGGGUUUGAAUUUAUAUAUUAAAAACUUAGAUGAUAGUAUUGGUGAUGAAAAAUUGAAGAAAAUGUUUUCAGAGUUCGGUAACAUCACUUCAUGCAAGAUUAUGCGUGAUCCUAGUGGAAUUAGUAAGGGAUCUGGAUUUGUUGCAUUUUCAACACCUGAAGAAGCAUCUCGUGCACUUGCUGAGAUGAAUGGUAAAAUGAUUGUUAGCAAGCUGCUAUAUGUUGCGCCUGCACAAAGGAAAGAAGAGAGAAGAGCACAGCUACAGGCUCAGUUUUCUCAAAUGAGGCCACUUGCAAUCCCCUCAGCCGCUCCUCGGAUGCCAGUGUACCCUUCUGGUGCUCCAGGUCUUGGCCAACAAUUUUUCUAUGGGCAAGCACCUCCAACUGUCAUUCCUCCACAAGCUGGAUUUGGCUAUCAGCAGCAACUGGUUCCUGGAAUGAGGCCUGGUGGACCUCCUAUGCCAAAUUACUUUGUUCCCAUGGUACAGCAGGGCCAACGCCCUGGUGGACAACGAGGAACAGGUCGAGUACAACAGGCUCAGCAACCAGUUUCAUUAAUGCAGCAGCCGAUGCUCCCCAGGGGACAAGUUUAUCGUUACCCGCCUGGUCAUAAUAUGCCUGAAGUUGCACCGUCAAAUGUUCCUGGAGGCAUGCUUUCCAUUCCAUAUGAUAUGGGUAGCAUGCCCGUGCGAGAUGCUGGCAGUGGACAGCCUAUUCCGGUUACUGCUUUGGCUACAUCACUUGCAAAUGCAACACCUGAACAGCAGAGGACGAUGCUUGGUGAAAGCUUGUAUCCCCUUGUGGAGCGACUGGAGCGUGAUGCAGCAGCCAAGGUUACUGGCAUGCUUCUUGAGAUGGACCAAACGGAGGUUUUGCAUCUCCUCGAAUCACCGGAAGCUUUGAAGGCAAAAGUAGCAGAGGCCAUGGAGGUUUUGAGAAGUGUUGCUGCUCAGCAACAGUCCAACAAUCCAGCUGACCAGUUGUCCUCACUGUCACUGAAUGACAACCUUGUCUCCUGAGUGAAUGAACUUGAGUCGAGAUUCUUGGCAGAGAAGUUGCUAGACCCUUUUAUCAAAAUUGGGCUUAUCUUUGUUGAGAGGGAGCAGUCUAAUAUCAAAGGCGACGAUGUAGCAAUCCUGGUCGUAUUUAGGGCCCAAAACAUUCUACUGUUCGAGUGUUUUCAGUUGAGAUACUUUUCUGUUCCUAAAGGACUCAAAAGACCGUUCAAAGAUAAAUAUGUUCAACUAAUAAAGUAAACUAGCAUGCUUU